CGUGAGUAACCUGCCCUUGACUCUGGGAUAAGCGUUGGAAACGACGUCUAAUACCGGAUACGAGCUUCCACCGCAUGGUGAGUUGCUGGAAAGAAUUUUGGUCAAGGAUGGACUCGCGGCCUAUCAGCUAGUUGGUGAGGUAACGGCUCACCAAGGCGACGACGGGUAGCCGGCCUGAGAGGGUGACCGGCCACACUGGGACUGAGACACGGCCCAGACUCCUACGGGAGGCAGCAGUGGGGAAUAUUGCACAAUGGGCGAAAGCCUGAUGCAGCAACGCCGCGUGAGGGACGACGGCCUUCGGGUUGUAAACCUCUUUUAGCAGGGAAGAAGCGAAAGUGACGGUACCUGCAGAAAAAGCACCGGCUAACUACGUGCCAGCAGCCGCGGUAAUACGUAGGGUGCAAGCGUUGUCCGGAAUUAUUGGGCGUAAAGAGCUCGUAGGCGGUUUGUCGCGUCUGCUGUGAAAUCCCGAGGCUCAACCUCGGGUCUGCAGUGGGUACGGGCAGACUAGAGUGCGGUAGGGGAGAUUGGAAUUCCUGGUGUAGCGGUGGAAUGCGCAGAUAUCAGGAGGAACACCGAUGGCGAAGGCAGAUCUCUGGGCCGUUACUGACGCUGAGGAGCGAAAGGGUGGGGAGCAAACAGGCUUAGAUACCCUGGUAGUCCACCCCGUAAACGUUGGGCGCUAGAUGUGGGGACCAUUCCACGGUUUCCGUGUCGUAGCUAACGCAUUAAGCGCCCCGCCUGGGGAGUACGGCCGCAAGGCUAAAACUCAAAGGAAUUGACGGGGGCCCGCACAAGCGGCGGAGCAUGCGGAUUAAUUCGAUGCAACGCGAAGAACCUUACCAAGGCUUGACAUAUACGAGAACGGGCCAGAAAUGGUCAACUCUUUGGACACUCGUAAACAGGUGGUGCAUGGUUGUCGUCAGCUCGUGUCGUGAGAUGUUGGGUUAAGUCCCGCAACGAGCGCAACCCUCGUUCUAUGUUGCCAGCACGUAAUGGUGGGAACUCAUGGGAUACUGCCGGGGUCAACUCGGAGGAAGGUGGGGACGACGUCAAAUCAUCAUGCCCCUUAUGUCUUGGGCUUCACGCAUGCUACAAUGGCCAGUACAAAGGGCUGCAAUACCGUAAGGUGGAGCGAAUCCCAAAAAGCUGGUCCCAGUUCGGAUUGAGGUCUGCAACUCGACCUCAUGAAGUCGGAGUCGCUAGUAAUCGCAGAUCAGCAACG
rnacentral:rRNA from 1 species